GACGAACGCUGGCGGCGUGCUUAACACAUGCAAGUCGAACGGAAAGGCCCCUUUGGGGGUACUCGAGUGGCGAACGGGUGAGUAACACGUGAGUAACCUGCCCUUGACUUCGGGAUAACUUCAGGAAACUGGGGCUAAUACCGGAUAGGAAUCCUUGCUGCAUGCUGGGGGUUGGAAAGCUUCGGCGGUCUUGGAUGGACUCGCGGCUUAUCAGCUUGUUGGUGGGGUAGUGGCUUACCAAGGCUUUGACGGGUAGCCGUCCUGGGAGUGCGACCGUCCACAUUGGGACUGAGAUACGGCCCAGACUCCUACGGGAGGCAGCAGUGGGGAAUAUUGCACAAUGGGCGGAAGCCUGAUGCAGCAACGCCGCGUGCGGGAUGACGGCCUUCGGGUUGUAAACCGAUUUCAGCAGGAGCGAAGCUUGUGGUGACGGUACCUGCAGAAGAAGCACCGGCUAACUACGUG
rnacentral:rRNA from 1 species